rnacentral:lncRNA from 1 species
UUCUACAUCGUUCUAGGACAAUCGUUCAGUAUAACAGGAUUAUGCCUGGGCAACUUUAUUUCAGAACAAUGUGGAUCAUCUUACUAACCUUCAGAUCUAAUUUCUAUACAUCAAAUUUUAGAUCUGAGAGAUUUUCAUAUUCAUAUCAGAACUUGACUCUGGUACCACUGUUAGAAAAUUACUACGAUUUCGUACGUAUAGUUCAAAAAAAUAUUAGACAUCUAUGCAGUAGAAAAUAAAUAAAUUGAAAUAUUUUUAAUUUAUUUAUGUAUC